UGUUCGGUAACCCGACCACCCCUCUUUAGGAGCGACUGUCGCUCCUAAAGGGUCGACCCAUUUAUUGCUCGCGGAUACCUAUGCAUAUACCCGUUGGAACCGUUGACCCGUCAAACCCCUCUUUAGGAGCGACUGUCGCUCCUAAAGGGGUGCCUCGAAAAAAUUAAUAUAUUCUUUCUCUGUACCGAUCCAUCCCCUUAGUCAUUCCCUUCUCCCUUUCUCUUCUCCAUUCCAACCGAUCCAACCCCCCUCUCCCCCAUAUUUUCCGGCCAAGAUAUUCCGGUGAGGCUUUAGGAGCGACCCAGUUUUUCAGUGAGGCUUUAGGAGCGACCCGUCGUUACCCCUUUCGUAAACCCAACGUUGAAAUAUAAGAAAAAUGCUAGGAGCUCACGGCGGCGACGGCGAUGGAAACGAUCCGCACCGAUCGUGGUGGAAGAAAAUAACAGGCUGCAAAAACAGCGGGUCGAAGAAAACACCACCACCACAAGAGGGGCAGCCAAACAU